rnacentral:rRNA from 1 species
CCCGCAACGAGCGCAACCCUCGUUCUAUGUUGCCAGCGCGUUAUGGCGGGGACUCAUAGGAGACUGCCGGGGUCAACUCGGAGGAAGGUGGGGAUGACGUCAAAUCAUCAUGCCCCUUAUGUCUUGGGCUUCACGCAUGCUACAAUGGCCGGUACAAAGGGCUGCGAUACCGUAAGGUGGAGCGAAUCCCAAAAAGCCGGUCUCAGUUCGGAUUGAGGUCUGCAACUCGACCUCAUGAAGUCGGAGUCGCUAGUAAUCGCAGAUCAGCAACGCUGCGGUGAAUACGUU